rnacentral:rRNA from 1 species
AACGAACGCUGGCGGCGUGCCUAACACAUGCAAGUCGAACGUGAAAGGGCUUCGGCCUGAGUAAAGUGGCGCACGGGUGAGUAACGCGUGGGUAAUCUGCCUCCGGGCGGGGGAUAACGGGUCGAAAGACCCGCUAAUACCGCAUAAGACCACGACCUCGAGGGGUUGUGGGAAAAGGUGGGGAUCUUCGGACCUAUCACCUGGAGAUGAGCCCGCGUGCCAUUAGGUAGUUGGCGGGGUAAUGGCCCACCAAGCCGAAGAUGGCUAGCUGGUCUGAGAGGAUGAUCAGCCACACUGGAACUGAGACACGGUCCAGACUCCUACGGGAGGCAGCAGUGGGGAAUAUUGCGCAAUGGGGGAAACCCUGACGCAGCAACGCCGCGUGUGUGAUGAAGGCCUUCGGGUCGUAAAGCACUGUGAGGUGGAACGAGCCGCCGGGGGUUAAUACCCUUCGGCCCGACGGUACCACCAGAGGAAGCACCGGCUAACCCUGUG